GUUUCUUUUUAAUAUUAGAUAUUUCAAUAGGUUUCUAUAAAUGGCUUAGGCACUUUUUUUUUGGCCCUAAUACAAAAGACUACUCAAUGCAAUCAAAAUUGCCAAAUAGUGCAGUGUCAAACAGAAAUAAAUAAUUGUGAAGAAUGUUUAAUCUUCUUCUAAUGAUUUCUCUUACAAACCACCAAAAAAAAAUAAAAGUUAAUGCACAGAAAACUGCUAAAGAAGCAGCAACUUACCUUUCGUAGC
rnacentral:misc_RNA from 1 species